CAGAAGUUGUGAAACGAGGACUGCCGUACGAAAUAAAUUAUCCUUGCCUCAAUUUUGCUCACCAUGAAUAGAUAAUAUCCGUGUAAGUCGUAUCCACAUUUAAAUUUGAACUUCAGAAAAGGAAUAUACCUAAAUAUGUGGGCCGUGAACAAGCCGCUGCAAUUUCUGUUACAAAACAAUCCAAUUUUAAAAAACUGCAGAAAUAGAUUCUACAUGAGGAAGUUAUUGGCUGAAACCAAAGAAAACAAAAUUGAAGAAAAUUAUCAAUUUUUACGGCAAAUCCUCGCAUUCAACGUUGGAAUAAUGAUGAGCUCAAUCGACCCACAUUUCCUAAGUGUCCAUCAAUGAACUUCCCGUCGAAAUAAUCUGCCUUUGAUGUUUGUUGGAAUGUACUAGGUGCUGGAUGU